GGGAAUUACUUGGUGGGGGUUUUAUGCCCGUUAUGAUUCCGUGUUCCAUGUUUUAUUACGAAUCUGUGUGCUUUUCUCUGUUUUAUAUUACUUAUGGGUGCCGUAUUUAUGUUAUGUAAUCUUGUGCUGUGCUUGACUAUGUGUUUGUGUGGUAUCUCGUGCCUUGAGCCGGGGGUCUAUCGGAAACAGCCUUUCAACUUCUUUAGAGGUAAAGGUAUGGACUGCGUACAUCUUACCCCCCCAUACCCCACUAGGUGGGAAUAUACUGGGUUUGUUGUUGUUUUGUGAAUUAUUCAUUUGUGUGAUUUGACCAUUUUACCCCCCUUCGUGAUUGCUUUGUGGUAUUUCUGGGGUGUGGAGAUGAUUGGCAUGAUUCCUAAUGCAUUUUGCUAUAAUUUGUGCAAGUUGGUGGUUUUUGGAGGUUAAAAGGGAUUUAUAGUUGACCUCGGUCAACAUUUGUUGUUGUGCGUUGUAAGGCAAAACGGACUAGGACGGUAGAUCCGAAACAUCGAUUUUAGGUUUAUAACAUGGUUGGUGUGGUUUUACAAAUUUUGUAUCUCAUUUGGACCCUCAGUAAAGUUAUGAAAUUAAGUUGCAAGGGUCAAUUUUGUGAAAACGAUAUUUUUUUCGAAAACCCGAUAUCAUCAUUGAGUCCGGAACGUCGAAUUUAGUUUAGUAGCAUAUCUCAUUUGUAUUCUAGGGAUUCCGAACGAAUCCCGGGGGCCCCACAUAAACUUGGAAAAGUUCCAAGUUUGCUGGUAUAUCACCAACUGAGGCAGUCGCUUAAACGGCCAGGAGGCCGCGUAAGCAGCCAUGUUUGAUCUACCCUAUGUCGCUUAAGCGACCAUGCUGACAGUAGCCAAUGCCGCUUAAGCGACUAUCUGGUCGCUUAAGAGAGCAAUGAUCGCUUAAGCCAGCCCAUCAUUUUUGAGACUUAGAGCUUCAGAUUUUAGAAUUUUUGGGUGAUUUCUUCCAUUUUCAAGUUUGGCUAAGCUCUAAAUCCCUAUUUCAAUUAUUUUUCUUCGAUUCUUGUCAUUUAAAGUUUGUUAAAACUCGAUUUCAAAAGCAGAAUAUGAGAAUGUUGGCCCAGAAGGCCUAAAUUAUUAUUUCUUCAAUUUAAACACCAAUUUCAACCCGUUUUCACUUGGAUUUUCUCCAAUGGCUUCCUUUAACCAUGGGUAACGCAUUUAUGAACUAAAAUUUCAAUUUUACCCUUCUUUCUCAAAAACUCAUUUCGUGGUUCCAUUUUUACCACAACUCAAAAAUAGGCAAUAUAGGUAUUGUCGACUUGCUUUUAACGCAUAGAUUCUAUAUUUGUAUGUUUUGGUUGAUUUCGAGUCCGUUCCUAAGGGGAAGGCUCCGUGUUGAAGGCGUUUGGACCGGAUUUUCUUCAUUCAAGGUAGGUUAUGGCUUAAUUUUCUUCAAACUGGGUUGGGAACUUAAUACUGAUAUGAAAACGUGUUACGGAUAUGGGAACUAAUCAUGAAAAUGGCUUUAUUAUUGUUUUGUUCCGGUGUAGGGGCCUAUGUUGUAAUUUGGUGCUUUGAGACAUUAUUUGUUGUGUGACCGUGUAGGGUCUUAUAUGAUGUUGGCCUGGUAUUUAUGGUAAUUGGUUGUACUCUUUUUGGUGGAUAUUACCUAAGUUUGGAUCUAUGUGGUAUAAAUGUCAUAUUAUUGCAUAUGGAGCACCAUGAUACCUCUCUAUAAGAAUAAGGGGGACAUCCAGAGUUGCAACAACUAUAGGGGGAUUAAGUUAUUGAGUCACUCUAUGAAGAUCUGGGAGAGAGUGGUCGAGGUGAGGCUGAGACGGAUAGUGUCUAUUUCAGAAAACCAGUUUGGAUUUAUGCCUGGCCGCUCGACGACGGAGGCAAUUCACCUGGUACGGAGGUUGGUGGAACAGUAUAGGGAGAGGAAGAAGGACCUGCACAUGGUAUUUAUCGACCUGGAGAAGGCCUAUGACAAAGUCCCCAGGGAGGUGCUUUGGAGAUGCUUGGAAGUGAGUGGAGUACGGCUGGCAUAUAUCAGAGCAAUCAAGGAUAUGUAUGAUGGAGCGAAAACUAAGGUGAGGACGGCGGGAGGAGACUCAGAACAUUUCACGGUCCGGACAGGGUUGCAUCAGGGAUCUACUCUUAGUCCCUUUUUGUUUGCAGUGGUGAUGGAUGUGUUGACGCGGCGUAUUCAAGGGGAGGUGCCGUGGUGUAUGCUUUUUGCAGACGAUGUAGUUUUGAUAGAUGAGACUUAAGGGGGUGUGAGUGACAAAUUAGAGGUGUGGAGGCAAACCUUUGAGUCUAAAGGGUUCAGGGUGAGCAGAAGCAAAACAGAGUAUGUCGAAUGCAAGUUUAAUGACGUGAGGCGGGAGAAUGAGGUAGUAGUGAAGCUGGAAUCACAGGAGGUAGGUAAGAGGGAGAGUUUCAAGUAUCUCGGGUCCGUGAUCCAGAGUAACGGUGAGAUUGACGAGGAUGUCUCGCACCGUAUUGGGGCGGGAUGGAUGAAGUGGAAGCUCGCGUCGGGGGUGCUGUGUGAUAAGAAGGUGCCGCCUAAGCUUAAAGGCAAAUUCUACAGGGCGGUAGUCCGUCCGGCCAUGUUGUAUGGAGCGGAGUGUUGGCCAGUGAAGAACUCCCACAUCCAAAAGAUGAGGGUGGCAGAAAUGCGGAUGUUGCGCUGGAUGUGUGGGCUGACUAGAGGGGAUAGAGUUCGGAAUGAGAACAUCCGGGAGAAGGUUGGUGUGACACCAGUGGAGUGCAAGAUGCGGGAAGCCCGAUUGAGAUGGUUCGGACACGUGAAGAGGAGGGGCAUGGAUGCCCCGGUCCGUAGGUGUGAGAGGCUAGCGUUGGAUGGGUUUAAGCGGGGUAGGGGUAGGCCGAAGAAGUACUGGGGUGAGGUGAUUAGGCGAGACAUGGAGCAGUUACAGCUCACCGGGGGUUUAUUCCUGUUAGGAGUCCAUGUCCCAUGUUUUAUUAUGAAGCUGUGUGCUUUCCUCUGUUUUAUAUUACUUAUGAGUGCCGUAUUUAUGUUAUGUAAUCUUGUAACCUUGUGGUGUGCUUUACUAUGUGUUUGUGUGGUACCGCGUGUCUCGAGCCGGGGGUCUAUCGGAAACAGCUUUUCUACUUCUUCAGAGGUAGAGGUAUGGACUGCGUACAUCCUACCCCCCCAGACCCCACCAGGUGGGAAUACACUGGGUUUGUUGUUGUUGUUGUUGUUGUUACUCUAUUGGUAUAUGGAUUAUAUUGGAUCAUGGAUGGUUGGCUUAUUAAGUGGAUCUUUGGCUCACGAGCUUGGUAUAUUGGUUGGAUUUGGAAAUUCUCAUUCUGGUUGGUUGUGAGCAUUACAUCCUCAUAUCAUAUACGUUCAUGAAACAUUGGUACAACUAUGGAAAUAAUGGCUUUUCUGACAGAAAAUACGACAUUUUUAAGAACCUUCUACCAAUGUAUGUGUCGGAGAGGAAUUAUGAAUAUUGGAUUGGUAUUGGUUAUUGGAUUGUAUAUUGGUUGACGAGCCCUUUCAUGGGUCCUACCUCUGGAGCACAGCUCGGUAUGUAUAUACGGAGGUUCUACGACAACCUCGUGCAAUGUAUCAUCAUCAUCAUUACCAUUCUCAUUGCAUUUCAUACAUUUUGCACUUCAUGUGUUGUACUUGCGUGUUUAAUUUGAUAUCUAUUUGUCUAUUGCUUGUUUUCUGUACUUGUAUUUGGUAUAUAUGUAUACUUUAGAACUAUUAAUGGAGAAGGUGUAGGCUACCAUCUGAGACAUUUUCUGAUUGCAAGUGACAUGCACAUAGUGUGCAUUUUAUAUACUUUAUUUUCUACUUUGCUCAGUCGGCCUAUGAUACCUAUUGAGUACAUGUAGACCGAAUUCAUCCUUAUUGCGUCCUUUCGAUGCAAAUCCAGGAACGAGUGCGCCACACGGUAGCUAAUUCGGGCAAUGUUUGGAGUAUUUUCGUGGUAGUGAUCGGUCUAUGCUUCCAGAGUUGAUCCACUACCUCCUAUUGUUUAGUUUAUGUCUUGUUUUUGUAUUUAGAGACAGAUUAUGUUCUUUUUGAACUAUCAAUUGUAUAUUUUAACGUCGAGAUGUACGUCGUUGGUUCUUACAUUGUGACACCGAAUUUUUGGGUGAUUUAUGGUAUCAUUGUUAUGUAUUUUUCUGCUAUUAUUGUAUAUGUGUGGCUCGACUUCGUUCUAAAAGCCUUACGUUGGAAUUUGGUCUUGUUUUUCUCAUUUCAUAUCAGUUUGGGUGAUUGGCUUACUUGUCAAGGCUUGUCACAACAAGUGUCAUCAUGACCCUUAGUUUUUGGAUCGUAACAAAUUGAUAUUAGAGCAGUCAGGUUCAUCGGUCUCACCGAUGUAAGAACAGGAUGUCUAGUCGAGUCUCGUGGAUCGAUAGGUGCUAUCUAUAUCUAUUUUCGAAAGGCUAUAAGAUAUCUUUAAGAAACUGCCUUGUUUUGUUCCUUGUCGUGCAGAUCUUUCAUACCUUGUGUUCUAAAUCGUAUUUUACUCUUUUUCUGCGCAGAUGGUGAGGACUAGAUCUCGUAAGGUUAGAGAUGUUGAGCCAUCAUCCAAGGAGAAGGAGAGAGCUCAAUCUAGAGGGCGAGUUGCAGGUCGUGGACAGGCCGGAGAUAGAGGACGAGCACGAGGAUCUGCCCCGUCCAAAGGUAUUACUAGGGGGCUCUCCCAUGAACCUCGAGUUGAGCAUGCUGGAGAUAUGGUGCCUACUCAAGUUCCACAGUGUUCUUCUACCUAGUCUUGGAGGGGUUACUAAUUCGCUUGCUGACUCAUUUGGAAAGUGUUCCUUUAAGUGUACCUGGUGUUCCUCCAGCUCUGAGUAUUGUACCUCCAUCUGUGUUAGAGCCUUCCUAUGGUGUUCCUCCAGUUAUGAGUGUAGAUCCUCCCGUGGCACCGACAUCUGCGUAUGGUGCUUAUGGUACUCCACACACUCCUAGUAUUGUUCCUCCUUCUGUGUCGGUAUUCGAUAUGGUAUUCCGAGAUCAGGGGUUCAACUUUCAUACACGUGAAGAGGAGGGGCAUGGAUGCCCCGGUCCGUAGGUGUGAGAGGCUAGCGUUGGAUGGUUUUAGGCGGGGUAGGGGUAGGCCGAAGAAGUACUGGGGUGAGGUGAUUAGGCGGGACAUGGAACAGUUACAGCUCACCGAGGACAUGACCCUAGAUAGGAAGGUCUGGAAGACGCGAAUUACAGCAGAGGAUUAGGGCCAGUUUGGGUCGCUAGUGUAGGGAUUACUUGGUGGGGGUUUUAUUCCUGUUAUGAUUCCGUGUUCCGUGUUCCAUAUUUUAUUACGAAUGUGUGUGCUUUCCUCUGCUUUCCUCUGUUUUAUAUUACUUAUGGGUGCCGUAUUUAUGUUAUGUAAUCUGCUUCUGUGCUUUACUAUGUGUUUGUGUGGUAUCUCGUGCCUUAAGCCGGGGGUCUUUCGGAAACAGCCUUUCUACUUCAUCAAAGGUAGAGGUAUGGACUGCGUACAUCUUACCCCCC
rnacentral:lncRNA from 1 species